ensembl:lncRNA
GCCUGCGUUUACAGCAACACGGCAGUAGCCUUCAGUAGGAAAUGUUCGGCGUUCUGCUUAAAAUCGGAUCCAAAUAAGAUAACGCUCCUGAAGCUCUCUGCAAUUUUUUUUCAAUUACUUACAUGAAAAAGGAAGACACGAUUUGGAUGAGCUAGGACAAUGCUGUAGAUUACAUUUUGUUUAUCCCAGUAUCGCAGGAGGAAUUGUGUUUCACUGCUUUUAGAGAAAUCCAGCCAGUGGAGUCAUUUAUUCCACCGAAACCUCAGAGAGCUCCUUCUGUCACCAGGGUUUACUGUUUCAGCACUUGAUGCUCUGCUCUAAGACUCACCGGAGGUGGACUAAGACCCAGAAUGUGAUUAGAGCUCUGAAUGGCCCUUCAGCCCAGAGUCCCCAGGAGCAUCUCAUGGUGACCGUGAUUUAUAGAGGACACCAAGGUCAUCAAAGCCAUACAGAUUCUCUUGGGCAAGCUUGGUCUGCGUGGUCUGGAAUUUCUGGUGCUUUCCUAUUUCCCAGAGCGGGCUGGGAAAGGACUCUGAGGCUAAAUGAAGAGGCUCUCCACUGGCCCUGCGUGGAUCCCAUCUGCCCAUUUGGCUGCCAUCCUCUUGACAAAGUGUUUAUCCUCUUUGCUGUGAUACGUGCUUAAAAAAUACCGUGGAUCUGGAAAUCCAUCAAAGACGUCUAAAGAACGCCUGAAGAUCUAUAAGGCCUUUUCCAGUCCCAGCGCCAGCUUUUGAAGUCAAUUUGUCACCACGCCUCCUGUUCGUUGCAAUGGAUGCGUCCUCUGGCGUCCUAAACGCAACAUGACAAGUGACUAAUGUCCUGAGAGUUUCAAAAUGGUCACAGCUGGCAUCAGAUGAAUCAGCAACUGCAUCUUGUGUCCCUGAAGUUAGGAGCCCAUGACCUUCUUUUGGAAAUGCAGAAUGCCACAAGAGAGUGCAGGGGGAAAAGAGUGCCUGGUGCCGAGUGUCAUCUAUAUGGGUCAGAGAGUACUUAGCUUUGUGAAGGACAAGUCCAGCUGCAAGUGUUUGUUAGUAACAGCUAAAGAAUAACCAAGAUUGCAUAACUCUUGUAGGCCUUUUUGGCUGUUACAUGCCAAAGGCUGUUCACUCAUUUGUGUUUUUGCUACAACAAAUUCCUCCAUGUUAGUGACUCCCUCCAUAUAAUGGAGGAAAGGAAACAGGCAUUGUUCUUGUCUGGCUGAAAACCAAAUUUUCAGUUUUGCUCCUCUUGAGAAACAUCAGCUGCGUGCUCCAGGCAAAUUCCUAAGGCUCUAUGUUAAGAUGUACUGGAAGGAGCCUCAGAAAAAAAUGAAAACAGUUGAUAUCAGGAUGUUGGAAUUACAGCUGACCUUUGAACAACAUGGGUUUGAACUGCAUGGAUUGACUGUACAUGGAAUUUUUUCAAUAGGACUUCCUUGGUGGUCCAGCGGUUACGAAUCUGCCUUGCAACGUAGGGGACACAGGCUGAAUCCCUAGUCUGGGAACUAAGAUCCCACACGUAGCAGAGGAACUGAGCCCACACGACUGCCACACUGCUGAGCCCCACUCUGGAGCCCGUGUGCCUCAACUCGAGAGCUCUCCUACUUCAACUACUGCAGCCCACAUGACGCCAGCUAGAGUCUCUGUGACGCAACAAAAGCUCCCACAUGAUGCCACAAGGAUCCUGAGUGCCAUAACUAAGAUCUGACGCAGCCAAAUUAAAAAAAAAAAAAAAUCCAUUUAUUUUUGUUGUAAUG